rnacentral:rRNA from 1 species
UGGCGGACGGGUGAGUAACGCGUGAGAAUCUGCCUUUAGGUCGGGGACAACAGUUGGAAACGACUGCUAAUACCGGAUGUGCAGCAAUGUGAAGGAUUUAUUGCCUAAAGAUGAGCUCGCGUCUGAUUAGCUAGUAGGUGUGGUAAUGGCGCACCUAGGCGACGAUCAGUAACUGGUCUGAGAGGAUGACCAGUCACACUGGGACUGAGACACGGCCCAGACUCCUACGGGAGGCAGCAGUGGGGAAUUUUCCGCAAUGGGCGAAAGCCUGACGGAGCAAUACCGCGUGAGGGACGACGGCUUUUGGGUUGUAAACCUCUUUUCCCUGGGAAGAAGAUCUGACGGUACCAGGGGAAUCAGCAUCGGCUAACUUCGUGCCAGCAGCCGCGGUAAUACGAGGGAUGCAAGCGUUAUCCGGAAUUAUUGGGCGUAAAGCGUCCGCAGGUGGCUUUGUAAGUCUGUCGUUAAAGCGUGGAGCUCAACUCCAUAUCGGCGAUGGAAAC